AUUGAACGCUGGCGGCAGGCCUAACACAUGCAAGUCGAACGAAAGGCGGACGGGUGAGUAAGGUAUGGGGACCUGCCUGAGGGAGGGGGAUAACUACGGGAAACGGUAGCUACUACCGCAUACCAUCGGAUGUACCCAGAUGGGAUUAGCUAGUAGGUGAGGUAACGGCUGACCUAGGCGACGAUCCCGAGCUGGUCUGAGCGGAAGAAAAGCCACACUGGGACUGAGACACGGCCCAGACUCCUACGGGAGGCAGCAGUGGGGAAUAUUGCACAAUGGGCGGAAGCCUGAUGCAGCCAUGCCGCGUGUGUGAAGAAGGCCUUCGGGUUGUAAAGUACUUUCAGCCGGGAGGCGUUACCGACAGAAGAAGCACCGGCUAACUCCGUGCCAGCAGCCGCGGUAAUUC
rnacentral:rRNA from 1 species